rnacentral:rRNA from 1 species
GAUGAACGCUGGCGGCGUGCUUAACACAUGCAAGUCGAACGGGAAUUACUUUAUUGAAACUUCGGUCGAUUUAAUUUAAUUCUAGUGGCGGACGGGUGAGUAACGCGUGGGUAACCUGCCUUAUACAGGGGGAUAACAGUCAGAAAUGGCUGCUAAUACCGCAUAAGCGCACAGAGCUGCAUGGCUCAGUGUGAAAAACUCCGGUGGUAUAAGAUGGACCCGCGUUGGAUUAGCUAGUUGGUGGGGUAACGGCCCACCAAGGCGACGAUCCAUAGCCGGCCUGAGAGGGUGAACGGCCACAUUGGGACUGAGACACGGCCCAGACUCCUACGGGAGGCAGCAGUGGGGAAUAUUGCACAAUGGGGGAAACCCUGAUGCAGCGACGCCGCGUGAAGGAAGAAGUAUCUCGGUAUGUAAACUUCUAUCAGCAGGAAAGAUAAUGACGGUACCUGACUAAGAAGCCCCGGCUAACUACGUGCCAGCAGCCGCCGUAA